rnacentral:rRNA from 1 species
ACGGGGAAUUAGGGUUCAAUUCCGGAGAGGGAGCCUGAGAAACGGCUACCACAUCUAAGGAAGGCAGCAGGCGCGCAAAUUACCCAAUUCUAACAGCAUAAGAGAGGUAGUGACAAGAAAUAACAGUACAAGGCAGUUAAAAUGCUUUGUAAUUGGAAUGAUAGAAAUUUAAAUACUUUUUAAAGUAUCAAUUGGAGGGCAAGUCUGGUGCCAGCAGCCGCGGUAAUUCCAGCUCCAAUAGCGUAUAUUAAAAUUGUUGCAGUUAAAAAGCUCGUAGUUGAAUUUUUGCUAAAAAUAACCGGUCUGCUUUUAUUAAUAAAAGUGGUAUCUUGGUGUGUUUUUAGCAAUAAUGUCCUUUGAAAUGUUUUUUACUUUAUUGUAAAAAGCAAUUUUCAGGAUUUUUACUUUGAGAAAAUUAGAGUGUUUCAAGCAGGCUAACGUUUUGAAUACUGCAGCAUGGAAUAAUAAAAUAGGAUUUUAGUUCUACGUUAUUGGUUUUAAGAACUAAAUUAAUGAUUAAUAGGAGCAGUUGGGGGCAUUUGUAUUUAACUGUCA